CUGAGGAUAUGAUCAAUGGUUUCAUCAGUUUCCUUGCACAGUCUGACUACAAACAGAGGCACAACUAUGUGGCCCAAAUGAUCCAUUGGAACUUAUGCCUCAAGUACCACCUGCCAGCAGCAAAGAACUGGUGGGAUCACAAACCUGCAAAAGUAUUGGAAAAUGAGCACGCAAAGAUACUGUGGGACUUCCGAAUCCAGACUGACAAAGUUCUGGAACACAACACACCAGACAUCACAGUUGUGGAAAAGAACAAGGUUUGGAUCAUUGAUGUUGCCAUCCCAGGUGACAGUCGCAUUGAUGAAAAACAACAGGAAAAACUCAGCCGCUAUCAGGACCUCAAGAUUGAACUUCAAAGACUCUGGCAGAAACCAGUACAGGUGGUCCCGGUGGUGAUGGGCACACUGGGUGCUGUGCCAAAAGAUCUCAGCCGGCAUUUGGAAACAAUAGACAUUGACAAAAUCACCAUCUGCCAACUGCAAAAGGCCACCCUACUGGGAUCUGCACACAUCAUCAGAAAAUACAUCACACAGUCCUAGACACUUGGGAAGUGUUCGACUUGUGGUUUUGCGAAACGAAAUCCAGCAUAUCUAUCUUGUUUGCUGUGCCAUACAAUGUUGUUGUGUUGAUAAUAAUAAUAAUAAUAAUCCUUUAUUUAUAUACCCUUCCAUCUCCUCAAGAGGAUGAUUUUCAGCAUGUACAAAACCGUCCUCAAUCACACAUGCUUCAUCACAAAAGCAUGUGUGAUAAAGAAUCUCCACUGCCGUUAGAGGGGAAAUGAAUUUUCAAAGCACCAAUGUGUUGUAAUGUGCCAUGCCUCUUGUACUCCAAUAUAUUCUGAGUGUCUUGGUUUUGAGUGGGCAAGAGUCAUUAGGGGUAUCAGUAUACUGUAGUACUGUAGAUAAAUCACUGCUGCACUGUGACUGGCAAUCAUAAGGAAUGGAAAUGAACAAGAGUUGGCUAAAUGGCAACAUAAUCCCAUUUUUUCUAACAUGAGAGGUAACCAUAAUAAAGAAGAGAAAUUAACAAGACUUGGUUAAAUGAACUCAAUCAAAACUCACCUAUGCCAAAGUGAUUAUCUUUGAGACAAAAGACAGUAUUUAAUUCCACGAUAAAUGUGCCUUGGAUUAGAAACAAAGGACUUCGUGUGGAAAGAAAACAGAAAGUUUCUACAUGUCAAAUUACAUAUCUAAAGCAUAAGAUACUGUCAGAUUUUCCAAUGCUGGCUAAAUGGAAGUUUGUGUUCGCUGGAAAAUUCCUAGUGCUUGUGUUUGUUUGCUUGCUUUUUACUCAUGUGUGUAUAUUUGUUUAUCUGUUUUGCUUUGCUUCCAUCAGGAGCACAAAGACUGGAGAAGAUGACAGCAGGAAGAUAGGCUGUCAAAUAUGUACCAAUAUGUCAUGGGGAUAUGGAAUAUUUUGUGGUGUAGAAAAUAGCUUAAUGUUUAUAUGUCAGUGUGCACAAAGCCUGAGUGGCUGUGGACUCCUCUAGACCGAACAGGGCAAUGUACUUUGGCAAACACUACUAGCAACCAGAAUCUCUUGGCUCCAAAUCAGCCCUUGAAAAUAAUGCACAGCCAAGCAGCUCCAGAGUGAGAAAUGUCUAACUACAUCAGUCUCCGUCCUCACAGUGAUUAAUGUGACUGUCAAGCUUUUGCCCUAACUGGUACUUUGGCCCAGUUAGAAUGCCAACUGUUACUAGAUCCAAUUCAGCUCAAGUUUUAUAGAAAAAGUAUUGGGAACCAAUACUUCUGUGACUCUCUUUCAGCUAAGAUAGUUUGCAGCAUAGUGAAAUGAACAAGUCUCUGAAGUUCUUAAAGAGAACUUUCAUUGGAACUUUUCUGGCAAUUGUAGACAGUAGUUCAAGUUGGUAUAACAGUGAUGGCUCAUGGACCAAGCAAGGGGAGGCACUGAAAACCCUCCUGAAUUUCCAAUUUGUUUCUGGAAACAGGAUGGGGGCAUCCAAAAAUGGAACUGAAAACAGUAUGGAUUUCUGCUGAUUCACAAAAUAGAAAUGGGAAACUUUGGCCUUGUCAAGACAACUCCAGAGGUAAAUAUGUGAAAUUUGGGUUCCCUUCCAACAGCUUGUCCACUCUGCCAGAGCAAUGGUAAAGGUUUCUAGGUAAGGGUUUCCCCUGACACUUAGUCUAGUUGUGUCCGACUCUGGGGGUUGGUGCUCAUCUCCAUUUCUAAGCCGAGGAGCCGGCGUUGUCCAUAGACACCUCCAAGGUCAUGUGGCUGGCAUGACUGCAUGGAGGGCCGUUACCAUCCCACCGGAGUGGUACCUAUUGAUCUACUCACAUUGGCAUGUUUUUGAACUGCUAGGUUGGCAGAAGCUGGGGCUAACAGUGGGAGCUCACCCCACUCCCCGGAUUCAAACCACCAACCUUUUGAUCAGCAAGUGCAGCAGCUCAACGGUUUAAUCCACUGUGCCAUCAGGGGAUCCUAAUGGUAACUCUCGAUACCCCCAAAUACAACCAGCCCAAAAACAUUUUGCUAGUUUCUCUGUCUUUUUUAUUUACAUCAUAAAUCUGUUCAGAUCUACCCUUUCUUUCUCUAAGAGAUUUAUGAUGUAAAGAAAAGAGAUAGGAAAACUAUUAUAGAGAGAAUGGAAGAUUACAUGGUUCUGCCCUAUCCUGUGGGAAAAAAAAUUGUGAUUACAUUAUGAAAACUCCAUCUGGAAAACCAUAAAAGAUUUAAGAAAGAAUAUUUUAAGAAUAAAUAAGGUAAUGUUGGUACAAUAUACAUUUGAAAUGUGAUGUUAUGCUGGUGAUACUUCAUAUAGUAUCCAGUAAUUUCCAUGAGCUUGUGCUGCUGUAUCAUAAGGAAAGAAACUAAUUUUGUAGGUAGGAUUAUGAAAUUGAGAAACAGAACACUCCAUCUCUCUUGGCUCAUUGGCCUACACUCUACAUUUGUCAUUCAUUCACUGUUGUGCCCUCAUCUUCAGGGAGAUUAUUACCCUUUAAACAUGAUUGGUUUUGGCAUGAAAGAAUCACAGUUCUUCCCCUGUCCUUGCAGCUGCUGAAGAGCAAACCCAAUUGUUAAAGUAUCUCCUUUGCUUCCAAAUUCCAAGAACAUCCUUUCAUUCUCUGGGAGACCUUUGGCAUAAGGAAAUGCUCAGACAACUUCAAUUAGCUGUUAGGUUUGACAGUAAGUGAGAGGUGAGAAAAGAAAGCCAUGUAAUGCUACUAAGACAUGUCAACAUCUGCCAGUGCAGUCUUUCUACAGCCUGCAAAUAUGAUCUCAAACAUUUACACCGAAAGGUUAGUUUUCCUCUUUCAGUUUCAAAUUCACCCUGUUUCAACAAAGGUCUAAAGAACAUGAGCAACAAAAAUAAAAACUAAGCAAGGAAAGUUUAUAUAUCUGUGGAAGGUCCAGGGUGGGAGAAAGAACUCUUGUCUGUUGGUGCUCAGCGUGAGUGUUGUAACUAAUUACUUUGAUUAGCAUUAAUUGCUUUGCAAGCUUCAUUCCUGCCUGGGGGAAUCCUUUGUUCAGAGAUGUUAGCUGCCCCUGAUUGAUUCAUGUCUGUAAUUCCUCUGUUUUCAGAGUGUUGUUCUUUUAUUUAAUCUUCUGAUUUUAGAGGUUUUUUAAAUACUGGUAGCCAGAUUUUGUUCAUUUUCAUUGUUUCCUCCUUUCUGAGAAACUAGAAAAGUCAGUCAUAGCAGAGCACUUGAUCAACCAACCUGGACACAGCGUAUUGUUUGAGAACACUGAAAUGCUGGGCCACUCUAGCAACUAUCAUGUCAGACUACACAGAGAAGCCAUUAAAAUCCACAAACAUGUGGACAAUUUCAACAGAAAGGAAAGCUAGCACCUCCGAACAAAGUAAUCCCCCAGGCAGGAAUGAAGCUUAAAGGUAAAGGUAAAGGUUUCCCCUGACGUUAAGUCCAGUCAUGUCUGACUCUGGGGGUUGGUGCUCAUCUCCAUUUCUAAGCCGAAGAGCCAGCGUUGUCCGUAGACACCUCCAAGGUCAUGUGGCCAGCAUGACUGCAUGGAGUGCCGUUACCUUCCCACCGGAGCGGUACCUAUUGAUCUACUCACAUUUGCAUGUUUUCGAACUGCUAGGUUGGCAGGAGUUGGAGCUAACAGC
rnacentral:lncRNA from 1 species